CAGCGGAGGGAUCAUU
rnacentral:rRNA from 7 species